UAAAAAAUGAAUGGAUAGAUGGGUAUCCUGUCCUGUAAUUGCUGAUCAACUAUAGUUAUUUUAUAAUUCUUAUAUUAUACUGAUAUUGUCCCAGAUAGAUAGAUAGAUAGAUAGACAGUCAGACAGGCAGACAGACAGAUAGAUAGAUCGAUCGAUCAACGUCAUGAACACCUUCCAGUCACAUUGAGGCCAUACUUGUUAUGGUAAAUGUGUCUCAUGUGAAAGGCAUUUAUCUGAAGCUCAAAUGUUUUGACUUGCGAUCUGCGAUCAACUGUCCAUCCAUCAUUCACGUCACUAUGUAAUGUGCGUCAUAUUCCCUAUUGCAGGGGUCUCAAACCCUUGUCCCAGAGUGCCGCAGUCUCUGCUGGUUUUCGUGAUUUCCUUUCAGUCAGCAGCCAAUCAUGGCCUUGGGAACAAGGUGUGCAGCCAAUUCUCUUGACUCUCUAGCCAAUUAAUGACUUAAACUAAGCACUUAAGUGCAGGAACACAUUAAAAACCAGCAGACACAGCGGCCCUCCAGGAUUUUAUUUUGAGAUCCCUGCCCUAUUGUUAGUGGUAAAACUUCGUUUAGCGGUGUUUUCUGAUACAGGGUUACCACAUCACAGCGAUCAAGUAAAAUCCCCCUCUGCAAGAGGUUUGUGACUGAAACCUGAAAUGGACAUAUUUGGAUCUGUUCAUUUAGCCGUUCCAUCUUGACAAAGGCUAACUUUCUCAACACACAGCACAACUGAGCUUUUCCCCCCUCAGUGGCCCACGUUCAGUUUGCGUCGCUACGAAAGUUAUGGGUGUGGCAGUACUGGAGUACACAUGCCCGUGUGAUGACUGGGACACAUUCCAGCGACUUUCAGAGAGACUGGGACACACACUUCCACGUGUUGCUGCCCCCAAGGACCUGAGAGGAAAAGGCAAACCAGCCCUGCAGGUCGAAGAGAGCAAAGCCUCACGCUCAAAACAAAGAGAGAAGGAUGUGGACCGCAACCAUUCCUUCGCCAGUCCUUCAUCUAGGUGUCCGUCUGCUAUUGGUUCCCUGCGCGUCACUCACCGUUCGAGCCCCGCUCCAGCACCCAACCCGAGACAGCGCGACUAUUCUAAACCGUCGCCAGGGCUUCAUGCCUUACAUUUGGGAAUUGCUCACUGUGUUCUGUGGUUGUCCGAUUGUCAUUUGUUGUCUUUGUAUAUUCCCUUGGGUGUGUCUGCAACCUUAUUGUUUCACAUAUCCUCUACCCGUUAGUAUCAUUUGUUACUGUGUUUUUUUGUCUGUGUCCUUACUGGUACUUCUACAUAUUGUAAAUAGCUCUCCCUCACCUGUAA